UAAUUGUUGAAAAUUACAACAGGUAUUGGUGUAGAUGAGGGCAUUCGAUACAUCACAGUUUGACAGCAUCCUCAAGAGAUUGAAAGUGAAGCUGCAGAAAUCAAGGAUGAAGCUGUUGAAAAGGAUGAUGUUCAAGAGGUUGAUACCGAUGUCACCUUAGAGACUAAUACAGUUGUCAAGUCUACAUGGCCCCAAGGAAGGUCAAUAUGGUUGUGCACAUCAAUGCUAGA